GGGGUUGUAGCUCAGUGGUAGAGCAUUUGCCUCAUACACGUGAGGCCCUGAGUUCAAUUCUCAGCACCA
rnacentral:tRNA from 1 species